UUCUGACAGAGCAUGCCGGGAGAGGAGGGGCUGUUGUCGCUGGGGCCUUUUGCCAAGAACUCACCUCAGCAGUUCUGAGCAGGAGGCAACAGACUAAGGAGGGCUGUGGUGGUGAUUUUAUAAGGAUGACCCCCGUGGGUGGUUGAGAUUCUGUCUCUCUGCCUCAACUCCCCAGCUCUGCAAGCUGAUGCAAAUAACUUCAGACUUCUCCAAACAUUUGGUUCGAUCCAGGCUCCAUAUAAACAAGCUUUCAAAAUGCCCUGCCAUUUGAUGCCGACCAAUUUAGACCCGGGUUUCUUUUUCUUCCUAUUUAACCUGUGUGGACACUGAAUCUCACUGAGGUCAUAAGAGGGCACAUUACAGAGUUGGGGGACAGUUAGCAACACAAGGGGUAGUUCUCUGGAGGUUGCCGUGACAGGGUUGUAUCUGACAGUGAAUCUCACAGGCAGUUGUGUGCAAAGUCACAGGGCUUACGUACCGCAUCUCCCCAUUGGUGCUAUUCCUGUGAUUUAGUCUUUCAAGUCAAAUAGCACAGCAACACAAUCUAACAUUAGCCAACUGGACUGGUAUAAGUGAUCAGAGAUUCCAGACAUUAUCCUGGCUGUUCUUGCUUCUGAACUUCCUUAGGCUGACCCUGUUUUGUAACAGAAUGACCACCAGUCUCUGUUGCCUUAUUUCGUGGUUUAGAAAGCCAGUGCAGCCAGUGCAUAGGGCAGAUGUUUCACAAAUUCCAGAAAGGCUUACCUCAUUUAAAGUAAGGCUUUCAAGUGUUUUAACACCUACAGUUUUUAACUCCAUGUGGGUCAAUCACUUGUAAUUCCCGGAAAGAAUCUUCUCUAAGGCAACCCAGAGCUGGGCCAAUUUGCUUGCCCAACUGGUGCCCUGGUUCUGUGAAUGUUCCUUGGUGUAGCAACUUAAGAGUUUCCAAAAUGACCUUUUUCCUUCUCUCACUCAUGAGAACCCGAUCAAGCUGUGGAAACCCAGUGUGUGUGUGUGUGUGUGUGUAUGUGUGUGUGUGUGUGUGUGUUUCCUUGCUCACCAUCACAAUCAAAUUACAGGGAAAGCAGGUGUUGACAAACACUGGCACUAUACAAAAUUAAUUAUUUAAAAAAAAAAAGUGACCCAGUUUCCUGUGGCAUGUCAUUUCGGGACUCCCAGUCAGCCCUUCCCCCCUACAGAGUGAAUCUGAGACUCCAGGGGUGAUGUCAGUUCAUUCUGCAAGCGACAGGGAGAUGGGUUGGCAAGAUCCGCAGUGUGCGGUCAGGUCUCCCGCUGCCAUUUGGGCUCCUAUCAGCGACACCGUCGAGACCAUUAAUCUUCAACUUGGAGCCUUCUUGGGGCUUUUGAGUUUUCUUGUUUUGUUUUGUUCGGGGUGUCAUUCAAGAUUCCUUCAGAGAAACCUGUGUUGGAGCAGGAAAAUGCUACGUGAAUUAUGUCCUCGUGAAGUCACCAUCUGGACAAUAUUCAUCUUGCUUAACGAAAUACCAAGGAUAUCUUGCAGACCAGCUGCUGCAGGGCCAGAAUGCAGCACACUAGUGACCGCAGCCAUAAACCAACAUGCAAUCAAGUGUAAUUAACGCGCCUGGUGCCAUUUCAGAGGCCAACCCCCACAGUCCACUCACACCUCAGCUGGCUUUUCUUUUUAUCGGAUGUGACUAGGCUUUCUGUUUUUGUUUUACUUUGUCUUCUCACUUUUCAGGUUGGGGGAUCCUGCUCUUUGGCUUUUAUCGGCCCAGCAUCUAAGCCGUAAGUACUAUCACGGGGCUGGUGGAAAUGGGCGUGGUUGUGUGCUGAAGGCACACAAACAAUACAUCACUGAGCUGCAUUCUGUGGCCAGAAAGGGCCUAUUGUCCUGGACAACCGAGUCUGCUCUGCAGAUGCCUCUCACUGGCUGGGCAAGGCCAGACCAAGGAACUGGACUGCAUCGUGUCUUGUAGCAGAUGAAAGAAAUGGAGGGACCCCAGCACCAAGCCUAGUAAAAAAUAGACCCCCCCCCAAACAACCUUGACAUUUUCAUCAGCAGAAUUUCCCAGCUCUUGCUUCUCCUGGACACGCCCACCUGCCCUUGAAGUGGUGAGAGAGAGGGCAUUAAAGACACCUGCCCCUGAAACUGAGAUUCUGAGAGCUAUGUGCCUUGGAUUUCCUCUGCAGAGUUAGGCCCUGAAAAUGGGAAGGUAGUUAGGUCACACUCUCACCAGAUCCAAGUGGCAUGAGAUGUCUUCAUCUUCCAUCCUGUGCCUGUCACCCAUGAACAACUAACUGACCCAAGAAGGCUGCUGGAUGUUGUCCCUUCUUUCAGCCUUCCUUUCCCCCUCCUCUUUCACCCCCUCUGUGUUCAUAUCCCAGAAGGGGCUGCAGCAGAGCCUGAAUGCUUGCUCCUGUCUGCUCUCUAGCUGCUGCUGUGGUGUGCGGCAUCUGAGGUGAGAUCUUUUGGUUCAUCACAGAGGAGCAAAUACCACGGUCUGAGACUUCUCUUGAGUUCAGUCUUUCUCCUCUUCUUCCCCCUUCUCCUGUCCCCGCCUCCUCUGUAUUGUCUCUCUAACUUCAUCAUGCUAUUGCAGUCAAAGUCUCCUCCUGCCCGUUUAAUUCCUCGAUUUAUUGAACACUUCUGCCCACAGGAUAGGAAGAGGUCAAAGCAUUUCAGAAGAAAAAGAUGAUUUAGAAAGUCAAAUUUUGCAAUGGAAGACAUGUGACACCUCAUUCAUGAAGGGGCCUCUGACUUCUGACUUUCUGACCUCGUGACCAUCAACUCUGCUUAUGUGAACCUUCAGUUGGCUCCUGUUCGUUUUUCCCUCUCUUACCAAAGCAGCUCUAUAAGAUGAGCCCUAGCCUGGUUUGUGUUUGAACCUGUGCACACAGAACAAAGGAUAGGGCUUUUAGAGUGCUUGCCAUGUUAAAUAUGUUGUAGAAGGCAAUCUAAGAUAAUUUGCUUUUCUGUUGCUGUGAUAAAACACUAUCUGAGAGCAACUUAUGGAAGAGAAGGUUUAUUUCUUUGUUUGACUUACAGUUCCUCAUUAAGGAAAGUCGGGUCAGGAACUCAAGGCAGGAACCUGGAGGCAGAAAACUGGAGCAGAGACCAUGGAGGAAUGCAGCUCACUGGCUUGCGCCUCAUGACUUACUCAGCCUGAUUCUCCUGCCUGGGAGGUCAUACCAUCCCUGGGUUUCCACAUCAGUCACUAACCAAUAAAACACCCCACAGCUUUGCCUACAGGCCCAUCUGAUAGGGGCAUUCUCAUGACUGAGGUUUUCUUCUUCCAGUUGACUAACUUGUGUGAAGUAAACAAACAAAAAAAAAAAAGAAACAGGAAAACUAAGAAUAUUUAGUUGUUUUCAAAACUAACACAAAUCUGGCACAAUAUUUCACAAAAAUGUCCUGUCAGAAUACAAACAUUUCACAUUUCACAACAUGGACCUUUCAGCAAAGCUGAAAAUACACACUCUCCCACUUAGCCACUUGACCCCAUGGUGUCAUCUCUAAUCUUAAUCUCUAAGUACAAAAUAUAGGGAAUAAGCUUACUUCAUAAGUUUGUGAUUCAUAUUAGAUCAAACUGUCUAUGUUUAUAGUAUCAGGCCCAUAGGAAAUGCUCAAUAACUCAACAAUUAUCUUGUUUCUAUGAGGCAGAGUGGGAAUACAGGGAAAUAACGUCUACUCCUAAUGGUUAGGGACAUGAAAACAGCUAGUGUUGACUGACCUUAGCAGUUGUGGGAAAAUAAUACUAAACACUUGGUGUAAAAGUUUUCCAUCACUGUAGCAAAGUCUCCAAGAGAAUCAUCUUAUGAGCAAGAACAAUUUCUGUUGACUUGCAUUUUGGGGGAUUUCUGUCAAUGGUCAGUUGGUUCCACUGCUUUUGGAACUAUGGUAGGGCAGCACACAAUACUGGAGCACAUGGAGUGAGGAAACUGCUCACUCCCUGGCAGCCAAGAAAGAACAAGGGAGAGGGGGAGGGGACUGGGGUCUCAAAAUUACUUUUGAAGGCAUAUCAGCUAUGACCUAACUUCUUACCACUGGAAAGGAAGGUUCUAUCUAAAUGCUCAAACUACCUCCUAAGGGUUCUAGUGCCAUGUUCUGAGGACAGCAUGGACCUUUAGGAGUUAUUCGGACCAUAACACUUGUCACAUUCUAGUACACAGAAUAUGCCUUUUCUUUGAAUUCUCAGCAGAAGUCUUCAAGGAAGUAAUUGCUAUUUCACAUGUCAAGUUGAAGAGAUCAAGGCUCAGGGAACUUACACAAAUCUGACAAAGGACACAUAACCAAUAAGUCACAGAGCUUAUUUUCCAAACCCAAAUUUACUUGACUGAUCAGUCUAGCACGGACAAAGGAACAGGAGCAGGAGUGUCGUGCAGCUCGAAAUAGAAUGAAUGUGAAAGGUAACGUGGAAAAUGAUGGGAAGAAAAGGCAAUGGCCUGGGAAGAUUAGUGUAGGCUGAGGAAUGAGGGUUUCUUCCCACAAAUACUAGAAUAUUCCUUCUGGAAUCAGUAUAGAGAGGUGUGGGAAGAUGCAAAUUAUAUCCUGUUUCUUGUCCCAGGUAGUUAAAUGCUCAAUAGGGUCCCACUGCAGGGAGCAGGGAUAAGCAAGAAAGGGACUGGUGCUGGCUGGCUGUUGUCUGUGAUCAUUGGUGUUGAGGUUUGGUCUUGCUGUAUAUUGUAAUGUUAAGUGUGGACUCCUAUGACCUGGAAUAUGAUUGCAGACUCAAGUGACUCUGCCCCCUCCCCCAAGUUUCUGAUUGGUAAAUAAAGAUGCCAACAGCUAAUACUGGGAAGAAGACACAUAGGUGAGGUUUAGGUUUCCAAGGUUUGGGGUCAGAAGAGAACCAUGAAGAGAAGAAGAAGGGGCAGGAGGAAGGAGAAGCCACCAAGGCCUAGGUGAGUCAUGAAAUGUGGCCCUGAGGACUGGCAAAUUGGAAUUAAGAGCAGCCCAGAUGAAACAUAGUAGGUAGUACGUAAUAAUUCAGGGUUAUCAAUAGGAAGAUAGAUUCUAAUAGCUUAGAGGUAGGUAUCUGCCCAGCUCUUGUGCUGUUUAAGACUUAUUGUAAAUAUAAAAGCUGUGUGUAUCUUUUGUCCUGGAACUAAAUGGUCAAAGGCAAUGUAGAAACUCCAGGAUGGGAUUAAAUAAUUUCUACAAAAUAUUGGAAAUAUUUUUUUGUCUUUUGUUCAUGACUGGUGUUUGUAGGAUUCCCAGCUCAAAUAUUAGUGUCUGGGCUCUCUGCAAACAGUAGGUGGGCUCUGCUGGGAGGCAAAUUCUGCCCAAGAGAAUGGUACUGACAGUGUUUGAUACUUCUCUGAGAGAGUGUCCUGGGCUUGCUUCAGACAGCUGCUCUGGGCUAUGAACUACUGCUGGGCUUAGUACUCCCAUCCUAAGAGUCUGUGUCCUGAGGUUCAGGGGGGCUCUCCCAGAGUUGAGAUACCUUACACAAUUAUCUGGCCUUUCAGAACUUCCAUUUCCCUUUGCAAAGUGGGAAGAAUUCAGAGGGAUUUGCACAAACUGUUUGGAAAGAUUGAGGCAGCACCUGUUUGUGAACAGCUUGAGAUGGCUUUCAAAGCCUUCCUCUUCACCAUCUCAAUAAACCUCUUCCUUCUACUGCUACCCCAAAGUAAACACAAUUACAACAGUAAUUAAGUUUAAUUGGGGAAACACAUGUAGGAUACAGAAGUAGGCACCGGGCUUAUGGAAGUAAGUUUUACUCUUAUCUCUCUCUUUUCCGGAGAGGAAUUCCAGAUGAAAACUAAAACGACUACUAGCAAUUCAGGUCCCUCCACGCAUCCACCUCAAUAAAGCUUCUAUGGUGGCACGUUACGCAUGCAGAGCACUGGUGUCUUCUACUCUUGUUAUUUUUACUAAUCUUUAGAACGAUCCUGUGUCAGAAAAAUGCUUCCAAGGCCGCCUAGUCACUGAUGUGGAACAGGCAGAAGUCUACUUACAGCCCCCAACUUUGAAGUAGUCCCUCUGAGAGCUAAUCUAAUUGUUAAGUUCAGUAUUCACUCCUUCCAGACAUGCUGUUUAUGCAAGGUCAACCCCAUGUCAAGGCCUUUAUCACGGUGACUUUUUUUAAGUAGUCAGUGUCCUGGGCUCCUGCAGCCGUCUUGCUGUUUCCUAACUCACAGCCAUCCAUCCUUUUAUGGCCACCAGAGAAAAUGUUCUUAAUGUCCCCCUCCAUUUUUAUGCCCUACCUAUACCGUUCGAUUGAGAAAACAACAACGUUGGUAAUGCCUUCCUUGGAUCUCUGAAUAAAGAUUCUAUUCUCUCUUUCAUUAAGGGAAAUUCAUACUCAUGCCUUGAAAUCUGUGGCUCCUACAUAAAGCCUCUUAAAGCCAUUACAAACCCGUCAUUAGUAGUGUCUUCUACAGCUGUAGUCACAGUAACAGAAAGAGAACAUGGUGAUCCAUGACACCUAAGCGUUCCUGGCAUGAAAAGGUGGAUUUUUAGCCAUGUGGUUAAUACUGAGGUCAUCUGAGCUGGAUUUUAGAGGAAGAAUUGAAUGCGUACAGUUCACAGUACCCAAGAUUCACAAAUGUCACCAAGAGAAUGCCAAUACUAAUAUCUGACGAAGUAGAAGAAACAUCGUCUGAAUAAACA